rnacentral:snoRNA from 1 species
CCCCUUUUAAAGGGCGCAGCAGGCCUCUUGCUGAUGACCCAUUGAGCCGGCAGAAAAGGGCAGAGUAAAGACAGCCUUUGUGGGUGAAGCGGCAGCAUCUCGGUUGUUUUGCUUCAGUCAGUGGUGUGACAAGG